AUGCAUAAUCUAUAAACAUUGUAUUCAUUUUUAGUUGUGUUUCACUUGUAUGAUAUUAUUAAUUUUUUUGUUAGAUAUCAAUAUUUUCACAAGAUCUAACCAACCAAACAAGUAAAACCAGAAUAAGCUAAAAUAAUAACUAACACACAUGUGAGAAGAAGAAAAUCUAUACAAAAUUUUCCCAAAAAGUUUCAAGAGUAAAACUAAUCAAAAAUAUUUGCAAUAAGUUUCAAGUGUAUAGUUAUAACACAUUAACUUUUGAAAAUUAUCCAAGACCAUUAAAAGUUUACUAAAAUACAUUGUAAAAUAAUUAAAUCAUGAAAAAAAUAUGAUGAGUAAUACACAAAUAUACUUUUAAUAGAAUUUACGACGUAGACUUCAACUGCAGUCUAUAUUUGUAGAUUUACAAAGACGUCUACACUUAUUAUCUAACAUAUAGUCAAUCAAAAAAUUUCUAGUGUACUUGGCGCUGGCUUGAUAGACAAACGCGUACAAAGUGUGUCUUAGAUAACUCGAUCAAGUUCCGUACUUGUCGAUCAUUCGUGACAUGCAUAAGAAGAGUAUUUGCCUAUUUGGAGUCAUUUGUUGUAAAAUGACGUCUGGUAAGGAAUAUGUUAGCACCAUCUUCUCGAUUUUCUUGUAAUGGUCAUAAUCUUCUUGUGCCAUUUCAAGAAAUUCACCAUGUGUACAGCCAUCAUGCACAAGGAACAUUCUUCCUCCUUUCCGAUUAUUGACCACAACCUCCCACAAAGAGUCUUUCACUACCCAUCCUCCGUAUACAAUAUGUAAAAGAGCUAUUUCCGGAAAAAAAUACAGUUUACAUAAUUAGCGGAGAAAUAUUUUAUGUUUCAAAAAACUAUAUAGGUAGACUUACAAAUACGUCUACAAUUAUUAGCUAACAACAUAGUCAAAUCAAAAGUAUUUUACUUUCAUAAUUAUAACAGAUUAGGAUUAACUAAUACACACUGUCAAACAAAAAAAUAUAUUAAAAAACUUAAUAAAUAAUAUACGAAUUCACUUUUAAUAUAAUUUUUUAUGUAGACUCCAUAUUCAAUCUACGAAGAUGUAGACGUUCUUUUCAGUUUACUAAUGUAGACUAUCAAAUAGGUCUACUCUUUGGGUUAGUUUUUGCAAUUGAAAAUUUUACGGGUUACUUUCUAUAUUUAAAAAAGUUGUGAUUUUAUACAAGUAGACUUCAAUUUCAGUCUACACUUCAAAAUAGUUAGGUUUUUCAAUUGACCAAAAUUCACCCAUGAUUUGACUUUCGGAUAUAGACUUCAUAUGCAGUCUACAUUUUUGAUUUUUUUUAAAGAGGUUAGUUUUGCAAUUGACAAAGUUUGACUUUCUACGAGUAAAUGGAAACGAACAUCUAUAUAUUUUUAGACUUCGUUUGAAGUCUACUCUCAAAUUAAACGGGUUAGUUUUGCAUUUGACCAAAAUAAAAUAGUAGACUUUACAUGUAGUCUACUUUUUUUUCUAAGUUAAGAAGACUGCAUAUGAAGUCUACAGUUUAACAAAAUUUUAAUUAAUUUUUAAACUUUUUAGUCAAACACAAAAGUAACCUAGUUUUGGUCAAAUGCAAAACUGACAUUUUGCAAACUUUUCAGGCAGUCUACAAUUCGUAGACUUCCGUUGAAGUCUACCAUAAAAGUCAAAAGUUCGGUCAAAUGCAAAACUAACCUCUUUUACAUAGACGUCUUAGUAAGUUUACCUAAAUUUUUUUUUUGUUGUCAAAGAUAAAGACGAAGACUGCCGGGGAAGUAUGCGGCAAAAAAUAAAUUGUUUGGUCAAAUGCAAAACUGACAUGUGCGUUGACAAGUAGACUGUAUCGUACAUCUGCAUAUAGGCAUAGACAUACAAAAUAGUCUACUAUCUCGACACCGAUCUGAAAAAUGAUGAAAACCAUGUAAAUAGUAAUCUUUUUAUGGUGUAAAGUUCGUUUCCAACCUUCUCAACCGUCCAAACUCCAAAUAUGAACAAAAAGAACUGCCUUUAACGAUUCACUAAUGAAAAAAACUCGAAAAUAUGAAGUUUGCGUUUAUGAAAAUGAAAAUUAUGAGAGUUUUCUAGCUGGAAAUGUAGAGGAAACGAGAGGAAAUGAAGAUUUGUUGGUUUAGAAUAAAAAAAAAUGGUUGAAAAUUGAAUUCUAGAGCUUUAAAAGCUUAAAAAUGGUGGUUCAUGAUGGUUGGAAAAAUUAAUGAUAAUGACAUUAUUGUAAAUAAGAAGAAAUAAUGUGAGUGUAUUUGGUUUUCUGUGAAUUUCGAAAUUAAUAAAAAAUUAAAUAAUAAUGGUAAUUUUAUAAAUAAUUCAAAAAUAUAGGAAUAAUAUAGAAAAUUUAUUGAUGAGUUUGUUUUGAAAAACUUCUCAAAUAUGGCUAUCUUGCCAAUAAGCCCUACAAUAACGGCUAUCUACUUUUUAGUUCUCCGAUUAUAUAACUGGAUAUUUCAUUUUAUGAUCCUGCAAUGAUUUUCCUCCAUAAUUAAUACUCCCUCUGUUCCUAAAUAAUCUAUGUUUUAGAAUUUUCACACUUAUUAAGAAAACACUUAAAAUUUUGAUAAUAAAUGUAUGAUUUUCUGUGUUUAGCUAUUUCCUAUGAUUUUUAACCAAUCAAAAUUCAGUAAACACAAUUAAUGUUUUUGAAAUUUACAAUUUUCCAUUAUUACAUACAUUGAAAAUGUAAAAUAUGGAUCUUUUAGAAACAAAAUAUUUUUCUAAAACAUGAAUCAUUUAGGAACGGAGGGAGUAUAUGACUUAUAACCAACGCCCAUUUCGCUAGUGUGAUUUGGGUUGCUGGAUUAAAUCUUGAGAGUAGAAAUUUAACAGAUCUAGUUGAAAGGUCGUCCCAUUAUCAGCAAAGGUAUGCGAAGGAACAUACGGCAUUGAAAAUGAUAUUAUAAACAGUCACCAAGAAUAAAUAACCAGUCAUUUAACAGGCAGGUACCAAGAAUAAAUAGCCAGUCACCAAGAAUAAAUAGCCAGUCAUUAUCAACUAAAGUGUGAAAAUCGAGAAGGAACUAUGACCGUGAUUUACUAAUUGUGUACAUAAAACUGCAUAGAAAGUUAAAGCUCAAAUUUAAAUGGCGAACUGAAGGUAGAACAACGACUGCAUUAUACAACACCUAUCAAUUAGGUAAUAAUAUAGGAACAUGAGUCUGUUUUACAAAAAGGUGAAAGAUAGAGUAGAGAUAAAAGUUGGAUAGAACUUAGGUUCAUCCUCUAGGGUGAACCUUUAAAUUCACUCAACCUUUUAAAACUAAUCAAAUUUUCGUAUAUAUUAUUAAUUAAAAAAUAUUAAAUUAAAUAAAAAAUAGCUACAAAAAAAUAAAAACGCUAAAUUUAACGACGCUAACGCUUACACCUAAAUCUUAAAUCUUAAAUUCUAAACCCUAUAACCUAAAUUCUAAACCCAAAUCCAAACCCCUAAACCCAAAUCCUAUACCCUAUACCCUAAUCAUAGACCCUAAACCCAAAAACUAGACUAUAAACCUAAACUCUAUACCCUAAACUCCAGUCCUAGACCAUAAACCCAAACCGUAAACCUCAAACCCAAAUUAUAUACCCUAAACCCAAAACUUUAACCAUACGUCCAAACAGUAAAUCCUAAACCAAAACCGUAAAUCCUAAACCCAAAACCUAUACCCUAAACCCAAAUCCUAGACCUAAAACCUAAACGGUAAACCCUAAAUCCAAACCCUAAACUUAGAUGCUAUAAGGUUUGGGUUAAGGUUUACGGUUAGGUUUAGGUCUAAGACUUGGGUUUAGGGUAUAGGUUUAUAGUCUAUUUUGAGUUUAAGGUAUAUAAUUUGGGUUUAGGAUCUAGGAUUAUGGUUUAGGGUAUAGGGUUUGGGUUUGAGGUCUAGGAUUAGGGUUUAUGGUAUAGGGUUUGGGUUUAGGGGUUUGGAUUUGGGUUUAGAAUUUAGGGUAUAAGGUUUAGAAUUUAAAAUUUAGGGUUUAGUGUUUCGCUGGAAGCGUUAGCGUCGUUAAAAUUAGCGUUUUUUAUUUUUUGUAGCUAUUUUUUAUUUAAUUUAAUAUUUUUUAAUUAAUAAUCUAUGUGAAAAUUUGAUUGGUCCUAAAUGGUGGGGUGAAUUUAAAGGUUCACCUUAAGGAGUCACCCUAAGUUCUGUCCAUAAAAGUUCGGGUAUACAAACAACUAAAAACACCCAAAAAGCCAAAAUAGCAGAAGAAAGAACAUGAAUUCAGAGGACCGCAACCCGCUCUCGGUAAAUCAUAACGGCAAGCCUCUCAACCUCAGCAUCAAGGACGCUGCUGUCAUUAUGCAUUUGCAUACGUCGACACCUGCAACCUCAUGUGCUUGGAUUAGAAGAACUGCAGUGACGGUGGAUUCCGACUGCUUGGGAUUAUGUGGCACAAUGCAGGGCCUGUCAACAAUCACAGCUUUCAGGUCUUCAUCUUAAGAUUUUGCCAACUUGUGGGGGAAAUCAAGACUAGAACAGAGGUGUUUUCAUAAUAUGGAAGGAAAAGAUGAAGAUUUAAGAAGCUAUAGGUUUUUUGGAGACUCCAUUAUGACUGCGACUUCAUCUUUAUCGAGGGCGUUUAAAAUUUUACUGAUACAUGAAUGUUUGUGAUAAGGGUCAAAGGACAUCAUAAAGGAAAGGGAGGAUGAUGGAUUACACCACCGCUAGGAGACAUUAAAAUCUUGGCGCUAUUGGAUGGUUUGAAAAGAAUCUAUCUAUCUGGCUAUAUUAUAAUAGUUGAGUUUCUCUCCCUCUAAAGCUGUCCACGUCGACAUGACUUUUAUUUAUGGGUCCCAUGUUCAUGUCCGGUUUGGUUAUCACGUUCGAUUUGGUUAUUAAAUAAAUAUGUUUAUGUUCUUCUUCUUCAUCCCGUGAACCGUCUUCAUCGUCUCCACACCCUAUCAAGCGAUCUAAAGUCAAGAUCGAUGCCGCUAUUGAAUCUGUAUAUUAGUUCUUGUCCUAAUCUGAGUUUCUUUUUCUUUUGGUUUCAAAUCUAAUUUUUGUUUUUUAUAACCUAGGUGGCAGCGGCAGAACCUGCGGGGACUUCGUCGGCGAGCGAGGUUCCGGUUGAUAAUCAAAGAACGGUUUCGGAUGCUGAUUGAAAUCUGGAGAGUCGGAGUUUGAUUCCUCAUCCGCAAACUAUGGAUGCGGAGAAGCCUCUUUUAACUGACGUGCCUGUGAUGGAGAUCUCUCUUGAAGCCGGCACAAACCCUGAAGUCGAUGUCUUGGCGACACCUACAAUAGCAGGUGAAGUGGUGACGGAUUGCAACAGUUGACUGUGAAGAUUAGAUCUCUUGAUUUCUUUAUUCCACCGUAGGAAACAUGUCUAAAGCUGUUAUACAACUCUUCAUAACACUUGCUUUGCCGUUUAUCAUAUAAACAUUUGCAGGUUUGUCAUACCCGUAUUUUUUUUUUUUUGCAUCUCAUGCUGUUUCUCUGCUUUUGGCUGGUAUCUGAACUUUUUUUUUGUGUUAGGAUUUGUGAGAUACUAAUUUUCUAUUAUCUAAAUAUUUUAUUGUGAACAGAAAUUCAGAAACACAAGGUUUCAACCGGAGAUUUCAAAAGUUACCAGUAUAUACUUUCACAGAAUACUUUUGUGCUUUCCCUGAGCUAUGUAUGAACCACACAUGCCUCUUGAGAAUUAGUCACUCUUUAGAAAGGCUAAAGUCUUGAAGGCAAACAUGCUACAAAAAGACAUGUAUGUAUCUUUUUAUAAUUGUGUUUAUUUCUUUCA